rnacentral:hammerhead_ribozyme from 1 species
AUCCAACCGAAGAGUCCCAAAUAGGAUGAAACGCGCGUCAUGGAU